UCCACCCCUUCCCAGACCUCAUUUCAGGGUUGGCAGUGGAGGUGAGGGAACCUUAUUGGAGAUCCCUGUGUACCUGAGGCCUUCUGAAGACCAAGAAAACAGCCACAGAGCCAGUUCUGCGCCUAUGGAAACAUUCUUCACCAUUGCUUGCCUCAUGCUCAGAAGUACACACAUUUACUUGCAUAACUCACAGACUUGUCAUGAAUCAUGGUGAUACAGGAUGGUGCUGAGAUCCAAACGAAUGAUUACUAGAGAGAAGGGCUGUAAAAUCUAACUUCUCUCUGAAAAAUAAAAAAAAAAUAUUUCUGCUUUCCUAGUUAAAAAGUCUUAUCUCUUGCCCUCCAGAAAUGUCAGG